rnacentral:rRNA from 1 species
AGAGUUUGAUCAUGGCUCAGGACGAACGCUGGCGGCGUGCCUAAUACAUGCAAGUCGAGCGGAUGAAUCGAAAGCUUGCUUUUGAUUCGUUAGCGGCGGACGGGUGAGUAACACGUGGGCAACCUGCCCUGUAGACGGGGAUAACACCGAGAAAUCGGUGCUAAUACCGGAUAACACGAAAUGUCGCAUGACGUUUCGUUGAAAGACGGCGCAAGCUGUCGCUACAGGAUGGGCCCGCGGCGCAUUAGCUAGUUGGUGAGGUAACGGCUCACCAAGGCGACGAUGCGUAGCCGACCUGAGAGGGUGAUCGGCCACACUGGGACUGAGACACGGCCCAGACUCCUACGGGAGGCAGCAGUAGGGAAUCUUCCGCAAUGGACGAAAGUCUGACGGAUGAACGCCGCGUGAGCGAAGAAGGCCUUCGGGUCGUAAAGCUCUGUUGUUAGGGAAGAACAAGUAACGCAGUAACUGGCGUUACCGUGACGGUACCUAACGAGAAAGCCACGGCUAACUACGUGCCAGCAGCCGCGGUAAUACGUAGGUGGCAAGCGUUGUCCGGAAUUAUUGGGCGUAAAGCGCGCGCAGGCGGUUCCUUAAGUCUGAUGUGAAAGCCCACGGCUCAACCGUGGAGGGUCAUUGGAAACUGGGGGACUUGAGUGCAGAAGAGGAGAGCGGAAUUCCACGUGUAGCGGUGAAAUGCGUAGAGAUGUGGAGGAACACCAGUGGCGAAGGCGGCUCUCUGGUCUGUAACUGACGCUGAGGCGCGAAAGCGUGGGGAGCAAACAGGAUUAGAUACCCUG